AACGAACGUUGGCGGCGUGGAUUAGGCAUGCAAGUUGAGCGAAUCCCGCAAGGGGGAAGCAGCGUAAGGGGCAGUAAUGCGUGGGUAUCUACCCUGGGGUCUGGCAUAGCCCUUCGAGAGAAGGGGUAAUUCCAGAUGACGUCGUGAGACCAAAGGUCCGCCGCCCCGGGAGGAGCCCACGUGAUAUUACCUAGUUGGCGGGGUAACGGCCCACCAAGGGGAAGAUGUCUAGCGGGUGUGAGAGCACGACCCGCGCCACUGGCACUGAGACACUGGCCAGACACCUACGGGUGGCUGCAGUCGAGGAUCUUCGGCAAUGGGCGCAAGCCUGACCGAGCGACGCCGGGUGUGCGAUGAAGGCCUUCGGGUUGUAAAGCACUGUCGAGGGGGAGAAAGGCGAAAGCUUGAUCUAUCCCUGGAGGAAGCACGGGCUAAGUUCGUGCCAGCAGCCGCCGUAAGAC
rnacentral:rRNA from 1 species